GGGUGCGUAACGCGUGGGUAAUCUGCCUUUGUCAAAGGAAUAACUAUUCGAAAGAAUAGCUAAAACCGUAUAACAUAUUAAUAGGGCAUCCUAAUAAUAUCAAAACGAUAGUGGACAAAGAUGAGCCCGCGUCUGAUUAGCUAGUUGGUGAGAUAAAAGCCCACCAAGGCAACGAUCAGUAGCCGACCUGAGAGGGUGAACGGCCACAUUGGAACUGAGACACGGUCCAAACUCC
rnacentral:rRNA from 1 species